UCUAAUAUGGCAGAAAAAUGCAUUGGACUUAAAUCCCAAUAAUAAAGAUAAUUAAGUCUUUUUUUAGAA
rnacentral:tRNA from 1 species